AUUGAACGCUGGCGGCAGGCCUUACACAUGCAAGUCGAACGGCAGCACGGGGGCAACCCUGGUGGCGAGUGGCGAACGGGUGAGUAACACAUCGGAACGUACCCUAUCGUGGGGGAUAACCAGUCGAAAGAUUGGCUAAUACCGCAUGCACUGGAGACAGCAAAGCGGGGGACCGGCAACGGCCUCGCGCGAUUGGAGCGGCCGAUGUCCGAUUAGCUAGUUGGUGGGGUAAAGGCUCACCAAGGCGACGAUCGGUAGCUGGUCUGAGAGGAUAAUCAGCCACACUGGGACUGAGACACGGCCCAGACUCCUACGGGAGGCAGCAGUGGGGAAUUUUGGACAAUGGGGGCAACCCUGAUCCAGCCAUGCCGCGUGAGUGAAGAAGGCCU
rnacentral:rRNA from 1 species